rnacentral:lncRNA from 1 species
CUUGUACCUGGCUCUUGGCUGCCAGUUUUCAUACUGCUUCUGCAAAUUCGCACCAAUGGUUUCCAGAGCUUUCUGAGGACCCAUUGACAGAGGAUCUAUCCAGCACUCCAGGCGGGCACACGGAGUGGUCUUCACCACAUCAGGAGGGUCCACACCGACAUUUAGGCACAAAACUAAGGCAACGCUAACAGUCUUCAUCCGGUCCUUCAUCCUCCAGCUCUGCGCCAAAGACUUGGAGCCCUCGAUCUUCUCACAGUGCCUCUUCUUCAUGAAGGCCAGAGGCAGGUUCCAGUCCGUCAGGUCCGACUCAUCCUCCUCCCCCAGCCCCAGGAGGGGCGACUGCAGCAGCUCGGACUCCAUCGAGGCGAGAGCUCCGGGCACUGAGGGAGCGGCAGCCCCCGGCCCGGCUCGCGGCGGGCGGAGGGCGGCGGAGUGGGCCGAGGACGGCCAAGGGCAGAGGGCGGCCCCGCGGAGCGCCGAGCUGCCGGCGGGGCCCGGGCCUCCCCUCGCGCCUUUAGCCCCGCGGGCCCCGCGCUCGCUGCGGCGGGAGCCGCGUCCGGCCCAUGGCGGCUCCGCGCUCCCUCGCGCUCCGGCGGGCCGCGAGCGGAUCGGUGAAAGGCGAGGCAGGAGCGGGCAGCGGAGAGCGGAGGGCAGAAGCGACCCGCGGCGCCGGCAGCGCGACUCCCCUCAGCAGCGCAGCC